AUGGCAGUUGACCACGCCGACAAGGAGAAUCUGCCGCCUUCAACCGCCGCCGUCGCCCGUCCUCAUGUCGUAGCUGUCAGGAGCUGCAAGCUGAAGCUGCUCGGGAGGGCGCAGUGGCGGGUGCCGCUCAGGGACAUCACCAACCUCUUCGUUGCCGGGUCUGCGGUUGCCGAGUGGCAGCAGGCCCUGCUCCAGCAGCCGCGGCACGAGGGGUCAGCGGCGGCGGAGCUGGCCGUGAAGAUUGGCCCUGCCGGUGGUGCGGCACUGAAGCCUGGCAGAUACUUGCUCCGGAAGGAGUUUAGAUAG
rnacentral:rRNA from 1 species